GUUGUCGCUCAGUGGUAGAGUGCUUGCCUAGCAUGCAUGAGGCAUUGGGUUCGAUCCAUGACACCA
rnacentral:tRNA from 1 species